UAAGACGAAGGUGGCAAGCGUUGUUCGGAGUUACUGGGCUUAAAGCGCGCGUAGGCGGCUUGGUAAGCGGAAGUUGAAAUCCCUCGGCUCAACCGAGGAACUGGCUUUCGAACUGCCUUGCUUGAGUGCAGAAGGGGAGAGUGGAAUUCCUGGUGGAGCGGUGAAAUGCGUAGAUAUCAGGAGGAACGCCAGUGGCGAAAGCGGCUCUCUGGUCUGCUACUGACGCUGAGGUGCGAAAGCUGGGGGAGCAAACAGGAUUAGAUACCCUGGUAGUCCCAGCCGUAAACGAUGGGCACUUGGUGGGGGUAUACCGAUGAUUUCCCUGCUGUAGCAAAAGUGUUAAGUGCCCCGCCUGGGGAGUACGGUCGCAAGGCUG
rnacentral:rRNA from 1 species